CGGAGCUGCAGGUGGGGAGAGUCAGCAGAGGUUUACUAACCGUGUGGAUUUCGUUCUUUCUUACACUGUUAGCGGUGUGCGUCCAUGAGACUAAUCCACACCAUCAAUUCACCACACGGCAUACAACAUUUUACUGCACUGCAACUCCCCUCACCCCUAUUAUGGAUGUGUAACUCUUGUUCAAUAAAUGAGUGAACAACA